GCAGAACGCGAAGAACCUUACCCACCUUUGACAUGGCAGGAACUUACCAGAGAUGGUUUGGUGCUCGAAAGAGAGCCGUAACACAGGUGCUGCAUGGCUGUCGUCAGCUCGUGUCGUGAGAUGUUGGGUUAAGUCCCGCAACGAGCGCAACCCUUGCCAUUAGUUGCUACGAAAGGGCACUCUAAUGGGACUGCCGGUGACAAACCGGAGGAAGGUGGGGAUGACGUCAAGUCCUCAUGGCCCUUAUAGGUGGGGCUACACACGUCAUACAAUGGCUGGUACAGAGGGUUGCCAACCCGCGAGGGGGAGCUAAUCCCACAAAGCCAGUCGUAGUCCGGAUCGCAGUCUGCAACUCGACUGCGUGAAGUCGGAAUCGCUAGUAAUCGCGGAUCAGAAUGUCGCGGUGAAUACGUUCCCGGGUCUUGUACACACCG
rnacentral:rRNA from 1 species